CGGUGGCAAAAGCGGAGGGGCAACACCUGUUACCAUUUCGAACACAGCAGUUAAGUCCUCCAGCGCCUAUGGUACUGCAGGGGAGACCCUGUGGGAGAGUGGGUCGCUGCCGGAAU
rnacentral:rRNA from 1 species